GCUAUGAUGAACAUAUGGCAUUGAUCAGGUUUCAACUGAUAGAGCCUAUUUGUCCUCUAAGAAGUUCUGAGCUU